rnacentral:tRNA from 1 species
GCCUGGGUGGCUCAGUUGGUUUAGCGUCAGACUUCAGCUCUGGUCAUGAUCUCACGGUUCAUGGGUUCAAGCCCCGCAUCGGGCU